rnacentral:lncRNA from 1 species
GCAAAAUGUAAAGGUUUACGACAUUACUACAACCGUGACCGUAGUCACAAUUUAAAAUCAAGACGGAAAUUUUUGAUAAAUCAAGUGAGAGUAAGAGUCCAACAUAGAUAAAAAAAGUGAUUGUUGAACACCAUAUAAAUAAGAGAACCCAAUGUUUUAAAAGUUAUGAGUAAAAAUAUAGUGUGAAAUCCACUUACAAGUUUGUUCUUAUCCAAUGUGAUUGAUAUUUCUUCAUGAAUUGUCUCCACCUGUUAUCUUUCACGGCCUCGUGAAAGUAUAGUUGACUAUCAACAAAUAGAAGUGCACUAAAUUAUUUAGAACAUUUUCAUCACAUUGUUUGUAUUUGAGUUAAACUUCUCAAGUAAUAAUACCUAAACUUCAGUUGGACUUUAUUUGGGCUUCACAACAUGUCAAUUGUCACUUAUGAUUUUGAAGAAGAGAUGCUCUACUAAUUCUUGAGUGCCUAAUUUAAUAACUGUUUCCUCAUAUUUUAACUAAGAAAGGGUGUCUAUUUAUAUACUUUGAUAUUUGGACCUUGAAUUAAUGAGUAACAUUGGGUUUAAUAAUACAGCAUAACAGGAUCAAUUGAACGUUACCGCAGUCAUACCAGGACUAAUAAUACUUCAACACCUGCAUCAGUGGAUCAAAAUACUCAGGUAGUUAAAUACUUCUUUCUAUAUCAAAAGUACAAAGUGAAACUCAUGCUCUCAUAAUUGAAAUUAAUAAAAAGUAAUGUGAAAAUUAUAACUAAUUGAAAAAUAACAAGAUCCAGCUGAGUUAUUUUUAAGACAUUAGGGCAUGAGUUUCACUUUGUUAUUUAAUAUUAAGACAUUCCCUUAGUAGUUGUUUUUAUUAGUUAAGUCUUAUUGUAACUCUAGAUUUAAUAUUCAAUAUUUUAAUUUUCUUUUAACGAUUUUUAAAUUAUGCUUUUUUCUCAACAAUGGCUUGUAUCAAAAUUAGUGAUGUGGUAUUAAAGUCAAUCGAUUCGGCUACCCACGAUUUAUAUCAAAACACCAAGUGUAAUAGUACUUAGUGUGAGAGAUGCAUGUAUUGGAAAAAACUAAAAUCUGACAUUGAAUAAAGAUAAGACUUAAAAAAAUAUUAUAAACAGUGUCAUCCAUCACUUUACAAACCGAUUCUGUAAGGGAUGAGUUAGAUCCAAACCAAAUUCUAAGACUACCAUUUACAAAUUCACUUAUAUUAAAAUGAACUAGGGUGUACGACAUGUGUACUUCAAAAUUGGAUCUCAUACAAUAAUUGUGAAAAACGUUAGAUCUAAUAAGUCUUAUUGGCAGUGUAGUCAAGACGCGUGUUAUGUUGGUGGUUCGGUAGUGCAAGUAUAGGAUGUCUGAGACUCACACUUGAUUAGAUAUUGUUGGGCUAAAGUGUGAGUGGUUAUACAUAUAUUGACUAUGAAUGAGCUAAAUAUUAGAUAUACAGGAGAGAUGAUCUGUAUAUCUAAUGCUCUAAGAUUUUAGGUGAAGAUGAAAUGUCAAAGUUUCUUAUGAUCCUGAAUAUAGCUCAUUAUCCGUAACCUACUUCCCAACAAUUUUCUCUCUCUAGAUUUAACAGUCCCUAAAAUGCUAUGCAGAUGCCGUAAGGGAUCUCACGGAUAUAUUUUACACUAAUUGUUAAUACUAAUGGGCAAUGUUUACUAUAUUUUCUAAUAAUCUAGAGUAUAGACACUCAGUUCAACUUAAGAGACUUGAAGUUUGUAUGUAAUUGCCUAAUAUAUUACAGGCUCAAUUGAAGGAAGAAUCCCAACACAUGAUGAAGAAGAUUGACCUUCUUGAGGCUUCAAAACGGUUAAAGAUCUUAAAAUAUCUAUUCAUGUUAAUAAAUUUUUUUACAUUCAAGAUAUAAUUUCCCUUUCUUAUAAUGAAAAUAAUAUGUUGCAUUUGUAAUUUGAUUCCCUUAGGAAACUCUUAGGACAAGGUUUAGGGUCUUGUUCCCUUGAUGAACUACAAAAGAUAGAGCAACAAUUGGAGAGAAGUAUAAGCAGUAUUCGAACAAAAAAGGUUAGCAUGGCAACACAACUAGCUUAUAUAAUUUUCAUUUUCAAAUAUUAUACAAAUUUUUAAAUCUGAACUUUCUAUUUUUCAGAAUCAGAUUUUCAGGGAACAAAUUGAGCAGCUAAAAGAAAAAGUAAGCUAUUUAUAUAUUUAACAAGGUGGUUUAGUUUACAUGAAUGUCAUAUUGCAUAUGCUUUUUAUAUAUAUACAUACAUGGAAAAUAUUAGUAAUUAGUAAUUAGUAUAGAUAAUGUUACUCUCUUUCCUAUAUUUUAAAUUAUAAAAUCAAAUUGUCCACCACUUCAUUACAAUUUAUGUAACAUAAAUAUUUUAGAUUGAACUUGUUUAUUCAGUAAUCAGUAUCCAGCACUUGUUGGUGUUCGACAUUGAUACGACAUAUAUGUGAUUAGAUUCAGUUACUUUUAUUUUCUAAAAUUAUUUUCAGUGUGUCAAUAUUGCAUAUUAGAUUACAAUUCUGUAAAUUUGUUAUAACAUUUGUAGCAAAAAAAAAUUGUCAAAAUUAGACUAUUAUACAGUUGUGACCUAAUGUGAACUUGAAAUGUUGUCUAACUAAAGCAAUUAUCAAUUCAUCCUAUAUCUAAGAGUUUGUGGUAAUUAAUUUACUUUUUGAUAUAUAUCAUUAUUGAUGCAUACAGUAUACAUGCUAAGGAAAGAAAAAAGCUUCAUAAGUUACAGGAAAAAUAUUCUAACUAAACUGUUCUGAAUUCAAUUCAGGAAAAAACCCUAAUUGCUGAGAAUAUCAGGCUCUCUGAAAAGGUGAAUUUAUUUUCAAUCUUGAAUUAAUUUUUCCCCCUUUAUUAUCUCAUUUGUAUCAGAUUCAUAGAUAUCAUGAAACUACUAGAAAUAGUUCAUAAAAAAGAUUAAAUUCGUCUUUAAUUUUGUCGUUAUGUGUUAGAGACGGUUAAUGUAAAGAGAAAAUUAAUUUUUUUUAUCUCUAUCUCUAUCACUAUGUCAACUUCUUUGAAAAAGCCUCAUAUUCAUUGAAAAUCAAAAUGUGGUUGCAGUAUGAUAAGUUUUCCCAACCAGCAAAAAAGGAUGAAAGAGAAAAUUUACACGAACCCUUUGCAGAAAGUAGUCCAAGAUCAGAUGUGGAGACUGAAUUGUUCAUUGGUCUUCCAGAAACAAGAACAUGGCGCAUUUCUCCAAAGAUUUAGUUGAGAUUGAAGAAUUGAAACGAUGAGUUCAACUAAUUAUGGAAAUGAAAAUGAAAAUAAGGGUAAGGGAUACAAUUUUUCAUUAUGACAGGUUGUAUUGAUAUACCUUUAUAACAGACUCAGAACUAUUCACUUCCAUUGUGUUGUAA